rnacentral:rRNA from 1 species
CGGACGGGUGAGUAACGCGUGGGUAACCUACCCUGUACACACGGAUAACAUACCGAAAGGCAUGCUAAUACGGGAUAAUAUAUUUGAGAGGCAUCUCUUGAAUAUCAAAGGUGAGCCAGUACAGGAUGGACCCGCGUCUGAUUAGCUAGUUGGUAAGGUAACGGCUUACCAAGGCGACGAUCAGUAGCCGACCUGAGAGGGUGAUCGGCCACAUUGGAACUGAGACACGGUCCAA